UACGAAGGGGGCUAGCGUUGCUCGGAAUUACUGGGCGUAAAGGGCGCGUAGGCGGGUCGUUUAGUUAGAGGUGAAAGCCCAGGGCUCAACUCCAGAACUGCCUUUGAUACUGGCGACCUUGAGUCCGGGAGAGGUGAGUGGAACUGCGAGUGUAGAGGUGAAAUUCGUAGAUAUUCGCAAGAACACCAGUGGCGAAGGCGGCUCACUGGCCCGGUACUGACGCUGAGGUGCGAAAGCGUGGGGAGCAAACAGGG
rnacentral:rRNA from 1 species